GGGCUGGUAGCUCAGUGGUAGAGCAACGGUCUUUUAAACCGAUGGUCGUGGGUUCGAUCCCCACCCGGCCCACCA
rnacentral:tRNA from 1 species